GAAGGUGUAUGUAGAGGAGGGGAGGAAUACGCUUCUUGAGGUGAUCAAAGAAUCAGGAAUGAAGAGAGUCAGAAAACUUCUGUCUCAAUGCUAAGGUUCAUUGCACGGUCUUGAAAGAGGAAUAUUGAAGAGAAGUGAAGGUGAAGGUGAGCUAUCAGAGGAUUGGAGAAACAAGAGCCCUGCCCUUGGAUAAGGUCCUGACCAGGCAGUGGCAGUGAGCCUAGGAGGAAAAAUCUCACCUUGCUUUUCAAGCAUAAAGCUGACAGUUCUACUAGAGGCACACAGGAAGUCACUCUGGCUUCACUGCCGAGAUCCUCUGUACCCAGAAGCAUCUGUUCCCUUUGUGGUUGGGAGGGGACACCAGCCAAGAGAAGAUACUGGGUCAGUCUAGGACUAUAUACUCUGGGGCUAGUCACCAAAUAUUGCAAGAGACAUAUUAAAAACUAUUAGUUAUUCAAAAUACAAAUUUAACUGGGUGCUUUGUAUUUUUUUUGCUCAAUCUCACAACUCUACUUGGUGGCCC
rnacentral:lncRNA from 1 species